rnacentral:rRNA from 1 species
UGGGGAAUAUUGGACAAUGGGCGCAAGCCUGAUCCAGCCAUGCCGCGUGUGUGAAGAAGGCCUUUUGGUUGUAAAGCACUUUAAUCGAGGAGGAGGCUACUUGGAUUAAUACUCUAGGAUUGUGGACGUUACUCGCAGAAUAAGCACCGGCUUACUCUGUGCCAGCAGCCGCGGUAAUACAGAGGGUGCGAGCGUUAAUCGGAUUUACUGGGCGUAAAGCGUGCGUAGGCGGCUUCUUAAGUCGGAUGUGAAAUCCCUGAGCUUAACUUAGGAAUUGCAUUCGAUACUGGGAAGCUAGAGUAUGGGAGAGGAUGGUAGAAUUCCAGGUGUAGCGGUGAAAUGCGUAGAGAUCUGGAGGAAUACCGAUGGCGAAGGCAGCCAUCUGGCAUAAUACUGACGCUGAGGUACGAAAGCAUGGGGAGCAAACAGG